CAGACAGCAAGGUCAGUAACUAUGAAGGAACCCUCAGACACAAGAGCGGGUGGGUGUGGGCACCGAGCAGAACAUUUGCAGAGGACUUCCUUUUGCUCAUGUCGCCUCAAAGACCUUGGAGUUUGUCUCUGCUCACCAGUUCAGUGUUGCAGCAUCUCCCAUGUGCAAUGGACACAGCAAGGGUCUACCUUGGUUUAAAGCCAUCUAAGACUCCGGGGAUUCAGUGUGCAUCACCUCCAUCUCUUCCCCGAGCACUGAGCACUGGAGUUGGCACCCUGUGUGUCAGAAAUAAGGAAGGCUGACAGGAGGCGUGGAUGAAGGGUGCCAUGACUUAGGGAUGGAUGAAGAACAAACACAGAGGCAGAAAAUCUGUCUACAGUGGUCAUGAUGCCUGUCGGUGCCCACAUUCACACAGGUUGGCUCUGAAGCUCAGCUGCACUGGGCUGACCCUACUUGUCUUGACCCUGGUUGGGAUAAGAUGAGUGUUUUAGUGCGAGUCUUAAUACAAAAACCAUCAAUAGAAUCAUGCCGAGUGUUUAUUCAAGAGACCCUGGGUGAAACAACAGAUAGUCCAACUAAGUUAAAGUGCCCAGAAGACUGGCUUUCACACCGAGAUAAAUGCUUUCGUGUUUUUGAAGCAUGUGAGUUUGUAAGGACAAUGGUCAUGCCAUUUCGAGAAGACAGAAUUUUAGGGUAAUUUUACAUUCUUUUCACCUGCUUCCUCCAUGAUGUUCUCUGGGUAGAAGUUAACAUGGACAUCCCUCUUCCAGCUGAGCACACACACUUACUCUCAGCACUUUGAUCAUUGCUGAUUACAAAGCUAUGGACAUAGAAAACAGUAUGACAUCUUGACCUUUUACCAAAUGAACAACAAUAGGUUCCUCUUUUGGGCCCAUGAUGCCCAUGGCCCUGGGUUUAAUACAUUUAUAGCACCAAGUGUGAGUUCCCUCCUGUAGAGUAGGAGAGCUCAAAUCCAAUAGGAAACCAGUUGUUUACCCUCCAUAACCCUCAUACCGGUAUUGUAUGGGUGAUUAUCUUGUGUGGCUGAUUGAUGUUGUAGGGCAAGAGUAGUGAUGGCUUCUUCCUCAGCAGCCGACACAGUGCCUUUCAGCAUUAUGAAAGUUUACUAUCAGCUUAGUAGUUUCCAGGUCAAUUCCAGAUUGGUUAAUUUUAUUCUGAAAAUAUGUGGUAUUUUCAGCAAUAGGGCCUUGCCUAAUAGUAAUUGUGUAAAAUCAAGAAUAAUAGCCUAUGUUGUUUUGAGGACUUCUGGGGUAUCCCUUACAAGAAUUUUACAGUAUAUCCCAUGUUUGGAACUGAGGUAUUAGACAAUAAUCAUAUACACAUGCAAAAAAAUAAAAUUGCUUUCCAAGCAGCUCAUGUAUCUGUGACGCUUUAGUUUAAGAAGUAUUCCUUUCUUUUCUUUUGUUGGAUCAUCUUUUACUAUUUACUUUUCUCUAUGGUUAGCACCUGAAAAGUCCCAGUCCCAUCUCUCUUACUUUUUGCAUGGGAUCUUUCUCUGCGAUACAUUUUUGUCAGGUUGAGGUUAUUUUAUUUCUCAAACCAACUGUCUUCCUUCCUUUCUUUGUACUGUCUGGCAAUCCACAUAUGGUGUCCAUAGAUGAACUAGAACACUCCAUUCAUGCCCAUUGUUUUGCUUCAUUGACAAGAAGUAUCCUCUCUCUGGUGACCUUGGCAAGUAGGUCAUUCUUCCUUCACAGGGUCGUGAGCCAAAAGGUGCAGGGGACCAGAGGUAAAGAAGAUAGAACAGGGGAGCUUGAGCUCGGGAGGUCUUGCAGAAGCUAUGUCUUAUGCCAUGCCAAGGAAACUUGUUAAUAAAUAUAGCAUUUUGUAUGUUAUUUCCAGGGGGAGAGAGGGCACAGAGUCAGAAGAGAGCUAACAUACAAUAGGAUGAAAUCAGCAGGAAGCUAGCCAAGCAGUGAUGCACAAAGGGAACAUGGAGAGUCCAAGAGCAUGACAAAUGGAGCACACAGGGGUCUUGGGGCUGAUGACCUCCUAUUUAUGGGGAAAAAUGUCAAGUUCCCAGGAACUGAAGCAUUCAGUCAUUUGAGGCCCUAUCUUCAGGCCCUGACAGGCCUUGCCAAUUUGCCCUGGGGGCAAAGACUCAGAAUUAGAUUCCCUUUGUCCUUUCAUUAUGGCAUCUGAGAAAGCCUUGGGUAGGCCUGGCUCUCAACAGUGUGGCAAGUUUCUACUUAGAUGCCCUGCGAGAUGAAGUAUGGGAGUGGCCUCAGUUGCCUACUCCCUUCUCUGCAAUAUAUCGCCUUGGUUUGAAAUAGGCUUGGGUGCAACCUCCCAGGUAGUGUCUGAACUUUCCACAGAGAUGCUCUGCUGUAUGUGCCAAUGCCUCAAGCAACACCCCUGUGGAGCAAACAGCCCCUGUAGCUUUCUGAUGAGCUGUUCUGCUCAUGGCACCAACUGCUUUGCCUUUUGAGCCUGCAGCAUAUGAUCUUAACCCAUGGCUGCCACUUUCUGCCUCAUGUUUUCACUUUCUUGGAUAAAACUAUUCCUUUAUCAUGUUCCUUUCCACAUUUAAGAGUAUUAUUGCUUAUGUUUUACUCUAUUUUUUAUACAUCCUAAUUUCCAUUAAUAAUCUGGAAGUGUCUGAUAUAAAAAGAAGCUUCUAGUUAAAAAUUUAUCUUUCUUUAUUCUUGUGACCCUCAGUAUAACUUUUAUUAUUGCCAUACUCUAAAGCCCUCACAUAACUCACAUAACUCACAAUCACUCACCAUUUGACUUUGAUUUACGAUCUCCUUAUUGUACGCAACACCAUAUUACAAUCUCCUCUAUCCAUGCUCUGCCUCUUUCUCUGUGUGUCUCUCUGUAUCUCUGUUUCUCUGUCUCUGUCUCUCCAUUUCUCUGUCUCUGUCUCUGUCUCUGUGUGUGUGUGUCUUUCUGUCUUAUUGUGAGAAGAUUAAGGUAAAUCUGAAUUCUGAUAUAUACAUACAUAUGUAUAUGUACAUGUGUCUAUACACACACACAUACACACACACACACACACACAAACACACACACACACAUAUUGACAAUCAGGUUAUCAAAGAUAUUAUGACCUCAAUACCACAGCCAAAUUCUCCAGGAAUGCUAUGUCAGGAUGGUUUUCUUUUGAUCUGUUCAACAAUGGCUACAUUACUGUGUAGUCGUUGGUGUUGCUCCUUAAAUUGUGUAACCAGCAAGUAGUCAUUUGCUUCACAUUUAUAUGAAUAAAGGGCACUUAUCUCUGAUUGUUUUCCCAGUUAGUUCACACUGUUUCACAAAGGCAUUUGUAAGCAUCUUUACUAGAGACCACUUUACCUCAACCUUCUAUUCUUAGCAGAUCUAUUAUGAAUUCCUUAUAGCCACAGAUGACUUCAGAACUUAUAGCUGAAGUUCAGUGUCCUCAAAGCAUCAUUUGAAUCUCUAAUUAGAACACCAGACUUCUCUUCACUGUAUUGAUAUUUCUAACUCAUCUCUUCAGUUUUCAUUGACUGGAAGAUUGCUUAUUUAAGUAUGCUCCAUGAGCAAACUUAAUAUUGGUAUGUUUAGUCACACAUUCCCCCAUGUAAGGCUACACUAUCUUGACAAAGGAAGGAGUUUUUGUGGCAAGAACAUACAUUGCUAACAAAUUCCUGUGUAAUUCUUAUGUAAAAUAAGUGUUGGGACCCUUAUACAUUGAAAUGUCUAUAUAUUCUAGAGUUGCUAGUUUUUCUAGAAAUGUAUAGAAUCACUCAAGAUGGACAACUUAGAAAAAUCUUGCACAGUUACUCAAAUCUUUGUUUAGAUGAAGUAUGAGACAGAGUCCUGUACUUCGCAUUGAGUGGAAUGGCUAUUAUCUAACAGAGACAGCUGAGGACAUUUCACUGAAUCUUAAGUGAGCUGUGAGACCCUCCCACUGGCUUCCCCUCACUUUACAAUUAUCAUUGUCCUGGGAAAUGAGUGUGAGCUCCAUGUUGUUUGUAUACACACACACAAACACACACACACACACACACACACACACACACACACACACACACACACACACACACACACCCUGUCUCCUAGAACUCACAUCCAGCAGACUGCUGCCAUUACCAGGUAAUUGUGAGCACCUGGUUCAAUUCCUCUCUGCCCACCAUAGUGUCUUUAAGGAAACUCUUGCUUUUCUUCUUCCUUUUCACUUGUAAUAUGAGAAUGUCUGACUUGGGGGCAUUUGUGGUCCUUGCUCUAAGUCUUUUGGCAUGAAAGUCCUUGACAGAGUUAGCACAUCCCAUAGACCCAAGUCCUCUACUCUGUGUAAUUCUGACAGAAGUACUUAACUCAGAUGAACAUUGGUCCAUUUCUGUGGCCUUUCAGAACAAUGGUAACAGGCUUGUGGCUCCGUCUUCAUUACUUUUCCUAUUGUGUCAGACACAGUUGUUGUUUAAUUUUUAAACACAUUGAAUUUAAACCAUAUUUAAUAUUGUACACUUGACAACUCCCUUCACUACAUGGAUAUUUCAGAAAGAUGUUUUAAUUCAAUUAAUCUCAAAUAGCAUCAGAGAUUUUCACAUGUUAAUUUUUCCAACGUGGCACAGAAUAAUUCCUGGGACUAGGGUGGGGUUGAGUCCAUGAAAUUUUAAUUCAAGUUUGAGUGUUUUGUUUUUACCCUGGGCCUUGAAAGAGUAACUCAAAACAGAUGGUUAAAGGGAGAAGAAAACAAGUCCAGAUUAGACCUUGUAUUACAUUUUCUGUUUCAAAGAAAGCAUGUGGGAUUAAUGGAUGCAGAAUUCAAUAACAAGAGAGAUACCGUUGACUGCAAGUGUGAGUGAAUGUAGACACAGACAGCAGAGUAUUCACAACAGAUUUCCUUGUGUUCAUUUAGCCUCACAGAACUUAGAGUCUGUUCACAUUUCCCAUCUCCUAUUUACAAUGGAAACAUCAAGAGUCUAUGGCAAUGUAAAGACAUGUAGGUCCCUCCAACUUUCCCCUCAGGUAAUGACUUUAUUUCUCCUUUUGGAAUUUGUAUAUACUCUAGAUAUAAGCCUCUCUUGUUAUAUUAUAAUUUUAAAUGAUUGCUUUGGGAUGGUGAGAUGACUCCUCAGGUAAAAGUACUUGCUACACAAACCUGACAACUGGAGUUCAAUUCCCAAUAUGUAUUCUGGACAGUGAAUCACCUCCUGAAAGUUGUUCUCUGAUCUCAACACCUAAUGUGGCAACCAUGUAUACACACACACACACACACACACACACACACACACACACACUUAAAACCACACACAACAGGCACACAUUUGCAGUCACAAAUAUACAAACACACACACACACACACACACACACACACACACACACACACACAAAUUAGUUAGACACCUGUUGCUUUUAAGCAGUGGUUCUGUUGGUGUUGAUGGUAUAGGACAGCUUGCCUGCUGAUAUCUACAGCUUCAGAGAAGAAAAGGCUUACACAUUGCCUGGUACAGAACAGACUCUCUGACUCAGCUCUACUGCAGUUACACACCUAGCAUUUAUCAUUAGGGAAAAUCAGCUAUCUUUUCUGACAGAGAGUUUAGCAAUCUUAGUGAAAUAAUAUGUAAGACUGAGGUAAUACUCAAGAGAAUAGACUGACAAGAAGAUGAUAGAAAAUGUGUGAAAUUGUCAUGAGACAGCAUUGCACUCUGUGGCCCACUUGGACUUACUAAUAUCACUAACACUGCAACAUUUUCAAUGUGGCAUUACUCCUAUAUUGUUAAAACAAUGUGAUUAUCAAUAUUAAAGAGUUUGGUUGCUUCCAGUUUCUGCCUGCUCCUGUAGCUGACCUAGUUCCACAGCUCUCUGUAUCCAAAUUCCAUGGGAAAAGGAGCUGGACUCUCAGAAGUAUAGACAAUCCUGAGAGCUCAGGGGAGACCACCACUUCUGCUCACAUUCCUGCCCCAAGAGGAAACUACCUAGAACCCUCUGGAUACAUGAACCUCAGAGCAGCCAAGGAGAAGAUCCUUCUGGUCUCUGCUUGUACCCAAAGCUGAAAGCCAGUCGACAGGAGCAAUGACACACCUGGGAGGAGAGGUAAGACUCUUCUGCCUGGAGCCCUAAGGACACACACACACACACACACACACACACACACACAGGAGCAGUCUGAGACAAGACCAUUUAGGUUUCUACCUGUGCCCAGAGCUGACCUGGUCCCAGAGUUCUCUGUACCUAGAUCUUGUUGGGAGAAAGCAGUUUCCAGGGAUGCUGACAUACAGGCUUACAGGAGGGUCAAACCACUGUCAGAGACAGCAAGACAAGGUAUCACCAGAGACAACCUGAUGGCAAGAGGAAAGCACAGGAACCUAAGCAACAGAAACCAAGACUAUUUGGAAUCAUCAGAGCCCAGUUAUCCAACCAAAGCAAAUAAUGGAUAUCCCAACACACUAAAAGCAAAGUUUGGAUUUAAAAUCAUAUCUCAUGAUGAUGAUAGAGGACUUUAAGAAGGACAUAAAUAACUCCCUUAAAGAAAUACAGGACAACACAGGUAAACAAGUAGAAGGCCUUAAAGAGGAAACACAAAAAUCCCUUAAAGAAUUGCAGGAAAAGACAAACAAAUAGGUGAAGGAAUUGAAUAAACCAUCCAGGGUCUAAAAAUGAAAAUAGAAACAAUAAAGAAAUGACAAAGUGAGUCAACCCUAGACAAAGAAAACCUAGGAAAGAGAUCAGGAUUCAUAGAUGCAAGCAUUACCUACAGAAUACAAGAGAUUGAAGAAUCUCAGGGGCAGAAGAUACCACAGAAAACAUAGACACACUCAUUAAAGAAAAUGUAAAUGGCAAAAAGUUCCUAACCCAAAACAUCCAGGAAAUCCAGGACACAAUGAGAAGAUCAAACCUAAGGAUAAUAGAUUUAGAAGAGAGUAAAGACUCCCAACUUAAAGGGCAAGUAAAUAUCUUCAAAAAAUUAUAGAAGAAAACUUCCCUAACCUGGAGAAAUAGAUGCCCAUAAACAUACAAGAAGCCUACCAAACUGCAAAUAGAUUGGACCAGAAAAGAAAUUUCUCCAGACACAUAAUAGUGAAAACACCAAAUACACGAAACAAAGAAAGAAUAUUAAAUGCAGUAAGGGAAAAAGUCAAGUAACAUAUAGUACCUAUCGCAUAGUAUUACUGAGAGUGUUUAUUGAGGCCUGAAAGGUAGCCAGGACAAGUACAAGAGUCUUCAGCAACUAUUAGCUGAUUAUGCUUCAUAAUGUCAUUAUUUCAAAGUUAUAAGUUUGUGCUAAAGCUAGCUUGAUGACAUGUCAUGCAAAGCGUUGUUGGUUUUUUUUUUUUUUCUUUUUUCUUUUUUUUUUUUUUUGGUUCUUUUUUUUCGGAGCUGGGGACCGAACCCAGGGCCUUGCGCUUCCUAGGUAAGCGCUCUACCACUGAGCUAAAUCCCCAACCCAAGUCAAGUAACAUAUAAAGGCAGACCUAUCAGAAUUACACCAGACUUCUCAUCGGAGACUGUGAAAACCAGAAGAUCCUGGGCAGAUGUCAUAUACACCUUAAGAGAACACAAGUGCAAGCCCAAGUUAUAAUAUCCAGCAAAACUCUCAAUUAAUAUGGGUGGAGAAACCAAGAUAUUCCAUGACAAAACCAAGUUUACACAAUAUCUUUCUUGAAAUCCAGCCCUACAAAGGAUAAUAGAUAGAAAACUCGAACACAAGUAGGGAAACUACACCCUAGAAAAAACAAGAAAGUAAUAAUCUUGCAAGACUACACAAAAAUAAUUCCACCUCUAACAAGAAAAAUAACAGGAAACAACAAUCACUAUUCCUUAAUAUUUCUUAAAAUCCAUGGACUCAAUUCCCCAAUAAAAAGACAUAGACUAACAGACUGGAUAUGUAAAGAGGACACAGCAGUUUGCUGCAUAUAGGAAACACACCUUAGUGACAAAGACAGAAACUAUCUUAGAGUAAAACCCUCGAAAACAACUUUCCAAGCAAAUGUUCUAAAGAAACAAGUUGGAGUAGCCAUUCUAAUAUUGAGUAAAUCAACUUUCAACCAAAAGUUUUCAAAAAAGAUAAGGAAAAACAAAAAAUAUUCACCAAAGGAAAAAUCCACCAAAAUGAACUCUCAGUCGUGAAUAUCUAUGCUCCAAAUGCAAGGAACCUACAUUCAAUUAUAACAUGAGUAUAAAGCAUGCAUGCUUUAAGUGUGAAUUGAAUUUUUCUUCUUUUUUAUGAAAUAGUCUUUCUAAUAAAUGUUUUGAUAAUUUUAUGUUAAGUGUAUAUAACCAUGAAUUAACCUACAAAGCAUCUGUUAUUGUUCAUUCAGGCUGCUUCUCAUUUUUCACCAUCAUUAAAAAUAUUAUAAAACAAAAAGAAACCUUACUAAAGCUCAAAGCACACAUUGCACCUCACACAACCAUCGUGGGAGAUUUCAACAACCCACUCAGAUCAAUGGACAAAUCAUGGAGACAAACAAAAUAGAGACAUAGAGAAACUAACAGAAGUUAUGAACAAAAUGGAUUUAAUAGAUAAUUUUAGAAAACUUCAUCCUAAAACAAAACAAUAUACCUUCUUCUCAGCACCUCAUGGUACCUUCUCCAAAACUGACCAUAUAUUCGGUCACAAAAGAGGACUCAACAGGUACAAGAAAACUGAAAUAAUCCCAUGCAUCCUAUCAGAUCACUAUGUACUAAGGCUCAUCUUCAAUAACAUCAAAACAAAAGAAAGCCCACAAAUACAUGGAAGUUGAACAGCACUCUACUCAAUGAUAAUGUGGUCAAGGAAAAAAUAAAGAAAGAAAUUAAAGACUUUUUAGAAUUUAUUGAAAAUGAAGUCCCAACAUACCAAAAUUUAUGGGAUGCAAUGAAAGAAGUGCUAGAGGAAAACACAUAGUUUCUAAGUACCUCCAAAAAGAAACUGGAGAGAACAUACACUAGCAGCUUGACAGCACACCUAAAAGCUGUAGAACAAAAGGAACCAAAUACACCCAAGAGGAGUAGAUGGAAGGAAAUAAUCAAACACAGGGUUGAAAUCAACCAAAUAGAAACAAAAAGAACUAUACAAAGAAUCAACAAAACAAGGAGUUAGUUCUUUGAGAAAAUCACCAAGAUAGAGAAAUCUUUAGCCAGACUAAUCAGAAGGCACAGAGACAGUACCCAAAUAACAAAAUCAGAAAUGAAAAGGGAGAGAUAAUAACAGAAUUUCAGGAAAUUAAAAAGAAUCAUCAGAUCCUACUACAAAAGCCUACUAUAUUCAACAAAAGUUGAAAAUCUGAAUGAAAUGGACAAAUUUCUAGACAGAUAUUCGGUACCAAAGUUAAAUCAGGAUCAGAUAAAGCAUCUAAACAAUCUCAUAACUCCUAAAGAAAUAGAAGCAGUUAUGAAAAGCCUUCCAACCAAAGAAAGCCCAGGACAAGAUGAAUUUAGUGGAGAAUUCUAUCAGACUUAUCCAGAAGACCUCAUACCAAUACUGUCCAAACUAUUCCACAAAAUAGAAACAGAAGGAACACAACCAAAUUCCUUCUAUGAAGCCACAAUUACACUUAUACCUAAACCACAAAAAGACCCAACAAAGAAAUCAAACUUCAGACCAAUGUCCUUUAUGAAUAUUAAUGCAAAAAUAUUCAAUAAAAUUCUUGCAAACUGAAUCUAAGAACACAUCAAAACCAUUAUCCAUCACAAUCAUGUAGGCUUCAUCUCCAUGAUGCAGGGAUGGUUCAAUAUAUGGAAAUCCAUCAAUGUAAUCCACUAUGUAAACAAACGCAAGGCAAAAACUACAUGAUCAUCUUAUUCGAAGCUGAGAAAGCAUUUGACAAAAUUCAACACUCCUUCAUAUUAAAAGUCUUGGAAAGAUCAGGAAUUUAAAGCCCAUACCUAAACAUAGGAAAAGCAUUAUACAGCAAACCAGUACCCAACAUCAAACUAAAUGGAGAGAAACUUAAAGCAUUCCCACGAACAUCAGGAACUAGACAAAGCUGCCCACUCUCUCCUUACUUAUUCAAUAUAGUACUCCAAGUCCUAGCCAGAGCAACCAGACAAGAAAAGAGAUCAAAGGGAUACAAAUUGGAAAGGAAGGAACAAAAACAUCACUAUUUGCAGAUGAUAAGAUAGUGUACUUAAGUGACUCCAAAAGUUUCACCAGAGAGCUCCUAAGCCUGAUAAACAAUUUCAGUAAAGUGGUUAGGUAUAAAAUUAACUCAAACAAAUCAGUAGCCUUCUCAACUAAAAGGAUAAACAGGCUGAGAAAGAAAUUAGGGAAAGGACACCCUUCACAAUAGUCCCAAGUAACAUGAAAUAUCUUGGUAUGACUCUAACCAAGCAAGUGAAAGAUCAAUAUGACAAGAAAUACAAGUCUCUGAAGAUAGAAAUUGAAAAAGUUAUCAGAAGAUGGAAGGAAUUCCCAUGCUCAUGGAUUGGCAGGAUUAAUAUAGUAAAAAAUGCCCAUUUUGCCAAAAGCAAUCUACAGAUUCAGUGCAAUCCCUGUCAAAAUUCCAAGUCAAUUCUUCAUAGAGUUAGGAAGCAAUUUGGAAAUUCAUUUGGAAUAACAAAACCCCAGGAUAGUGAAAACUAUCCUCAACAAUAAAAUAACUUCUGGAGGAAUCACCAUCCCUGACUUCAAACAGUAUUAUAGAGCAACAGUGAAAAAACCUGUAUGUUAUUGGUACAGAGACAGGCAAAUAUACCAGUGGAAGAGAAUUGAAGACCCAGAAAUGAACCCACAUACCUAUGGUCACUUGAUCUUUGACAAAGUAGCUAAAACCAUCCAAUGGAAAAAAUAUAACAUUUUCAACAAAUGGUACUGGUUCAACUGGAGGUCAUCAUGUGGAAGAAUGCAAAUCCAUCCAUUCUUAUCACCAUGUACAAAGCUCAAGUCCAAGUAGAUCAAGGACCUCCACAUAAAACUAGAUACAUUCAAAUUAAUAGGAGAAAUCAUGGGGAAGAGCCUGGAACACAUGGGAACUGGGGAAAAUUCCUGAACAGAACAUCAAUGGUUUAUGCUCUAAGAUCAAGAAUGGACAAAUGGGACCUCAUAAAACUGCAAAAUUUCUGUAAGGCAAAGGACAUUGUCAUUAGGACAAAAUCACAACCAACAGACUGCAAGAAGAUCUUUACCAAUCCUACAUCCAAUAGAGGGCUAAUAUCCAAUAUGUACAAAGAACUCAAGAAGUUAGACUUCAAAGAGUCAAAUAAUCCUAUUUAAAAAUGGGUACAGAGCUAAACAAAGAAUUCUCAGCUGAGGCCCAUCAAAUGACUAAAAAGUACCUAAAGAAAUGUUCAAUAUCCUUAAUCAUCAAGGAAAUGCAAAACAACUCAGAGAUUCCACCUCACACCAGUCAGAAUGACUAAGAUCAAAAACUCAGGUGACAAGACAUGCUGACAAGGGUGUGUAGAAAGGGGAAGCCCAUAGUUGGUGGGAUUGCAAGCUGGUACAACCACUCUGGAAAUCAGUCUGGAUGUUUCUCAGAAAAGUCAACAUUACACUAUAUGAAGACCCAUCUAUACCACUGAAGGGCAUUACCCAAAAGAUGCUCUGACAUAUAACAAGGACACAUGUUCUACUAUGUUCAUAACAGCGUUAUUUAUAAUAGCCAGAAGCUAGAAAGAACCCAGAUGUCUUUCAAUACAGGGAUGGAUACAGAAAAUGAGGUACAUCUACACAAUGGAGAACUACUCAGCUGUUAAAAACGUUGACUUUAUAAAAUUCAUAGACAAAUGGAUAGAACUAGAAAAUAUCAUCCUGAGUGAGGGAACUCAAUCACAGAAAAACAAACAUGAUAUGUACUCACUGAUAAGUGAAUAUUAUCCUCAAAGUCCGAAUUACCCAAGAUACAAUCCACAGAUCAUAUGAAAUUCAAGAAGAAGGACAACCAAAGUGCAGAUGCUUCAAUCUUUCUUAACAGGAGGAACAAAUAUAUCCAUAGGAGAUAUGGAGACAAAGUUUGGAGCAGAGACUGAAGGAAUGACCAUUCAGAGCCUGCCCCACUUGGGAUCCAGCCCAUGUACAUACAGCCACCAAAUCCAGACAAUAGUGUUAAUGCCAAGAAGUGCAUGCUGACAUGAGCUUGAUAUAACUGUCUCCUGAGAGGCUCUGCCAGAGCAUGACAAAUACAGAGUCGAAUGCUCACAGCCAGUCAUUGAACUGAAAAUGAGGUUCCCAUUAAAGUAGUUAGAGAAAGAAUUGAACGAGCUGAAGGGGCUUGCUACCCCAUAAGAACAACAAUACCAACCAACCAGAGCUCACAGGGACUAAGCCACCACCUAAAGAGCACACAUGGACAGACCCUUGGUUCCAGCUGCAUAUGUUGCAGAGAAUGGCCUUGUUGGACACCAAUGGAAAGAGAAGCCCUUCGUCCUGCCAUGGCUGGACUCCCCCCUCCCAGUGUAGAAGAAUGAGUGGUGAGGUGGGAAGUGGUGAUUGGUUGGGUGGGGGAACACCCUCAUAGAAGAAGUGGGAGGGGGAUAGGAUAGGGGACUUUUGGUUGGGAAACUGGGAAUGGGGACAACAUUUAAAAUAUAAAUUUUAAAAAGUCAAUAAAAAUAAGCUAGGAUUGAUUGAAGUUAAAAAAAGAGUUUGGUUAGGAAAAUAAUACAUAAUAAAAGGUAAAAUCAGGAAAACA